AGUGAACGCUGGCGGUAGGCCUAACACAUGCAAGUCGAACGGCAGCACAGUAAGAGCUUGCUCUUACGGGUGGCGAGUGGCGGACGGGUGAGGAAUACAUCGGAAUCUACUUUUUCGUGGGGGAUAACGUAGGGAAACUUACGCUAAUACCGCAUACGACCUACGGGUGAAAGCAGGGGAUCUUCGGACCUUGCGCGAUUGAAUGAGCCGAUGUCGGAUUAGCUAGUUGGCGGGGUGAAGGCCCACCAAGGCGACGAUCCGUAGCUGGUCUGAGAGGAUGAUCAGCCACACUGGAACUGAGACACGGUCCAGACUCCUACGGGAGGCAGCAGUGGGGAAUAUUAGACAAUGGGCGCAAGCCUGAUCCAGCCAUACCGCGUGGGUGAAGAAGGCCUUCGGGUUGUAAAGCCCUUUUGUUGGGAAAGAAAAGCAGCAGGUUAAUACCCCGCUGUUCUGACGGUACCCAAAGAAUAAGCACCGGCUAACUUCGUG
rnacentral:rRNA from 1 species